CUUGGUCAUUUAGAGGAAGUAAAAGUCGUAACAAGGUUUCCGUAGGUGAACCUGCGGAAGGAUCAUUAACGAAUUACCUUUGGCUGAUGCGCCCUCGGGCUGCACGUCAAACAAUUCCAUCCACACACACCGUGCACUUUGGGAUUCGACCUCGGUCGGUCCUCAUUUUUCACAUACGAGUCUUAGAAUGUAUCGAAUUCAUAACAAUGAAACAACUUUCAACAACGGAUCUCUUGGCUCUCGCAUCGAUGAAGAACGCAGCGAAAUGCGAUAAGUAAUGUGAAUUGCAGAAUUCAGUGAAUCAUCGAAUCUUUGAACGCACCUUGCGCUCCUUGGUAUUCCGAGGAGCAUGCCUGUUUGAGCGUCACGUGAACAUCUCGUCCUUGACUUGUCAUGGACGGGGAAUUGGACUCUGCCGUCGCCGGCUGGUCCUGAAAUGCAUUAGCCGGUUCAAGCGACCGUCUCGGUGUGAUUAAACAUCUACGCCUUGGCCUAGCCGACGGGCUCACAAAACCCACGUAACAUUUUAACGCUCUGGCCUCAAAUCAGGCAGGACUACCCGCUGAACUUAAGCAUAUCAAUAAGCGGAGGAAAAGAAACUAACAAGGAUUCCCCUAGUAACGGCGAGUGAAGCGGGAAAAGCUCAAAUUUAAAAUCUGGCGGUCUAAGGCCGUCCGAGUUGUAGUCUAGAGAGGCGUUUUCCGUGCCGGACCAUGCACAAGUCCCUUGGAACAGGGCGUCAUAGAGGGUGAGAAUCCCGUCCGUGGCAUGGACUCCCGGUGCUCUGUGAUGCGCCUUCGAAGAGUCGAGUUGUUUGGGAAUGCAGCUCAAAAUGGGUGGUAAAUUCCAUCUAAAGCUAAAUACAGGCGAGAGACCGAUAGCGAACAAGUACCGUGAGGGAAAGAUGAAAAGCACUUUGGAAAGAGAGUUAAACAGUACGUGAAAUUGUUGAAAGGGAAACGCUUGGAGUCAGUCGCGUUUGCCGGGACUCAGCCUUGCUUUUGCUUGGUGCACUUCCUGGUACACGGGCCAGCAUCAAUUUCGACCGCCGGAAAAAGGCUUGGGGAAGGUGGCACCUCCGGGUGUGUUAUAGCCCCUCGUUGUAUACGGUGGUUGGGAUUGAGGACCGCAGCACGCCUUUUGGUCGGGGUUCGCCCACGCCACGUGCUUAGGAUGCUGGCGUAAUGGCUUUAAACGACCCGUCUUGAAACACGGACC
rnacentral:rRNA from 1 species